UACAGAGGGUGCAAACGUUGCUCGGAAUUAUUGGGCGUAAAGCGCACGUAGGCGGCCAUGUAAGUCAGGAGUGAAAGCCCUCGGCUUAACCGGGGAAGUGCUUUUGAAACUGCAUGGCUUGAAUACUGAAGAGGGUCGCGGAAUUCCCGGUGUAGAGGUGAAAUUCGUAGAUAUCGGGAGGAACACCGGUGGCGAAGGCGGCAUCCUGGACCAUUACUGACACUGAAAAGCGAAAGCCAGGGGAGCAAACGGG
rnacentral:rRNA from 1 species